CUUUUUUAAAAAUUAAUAAAAUGAUGGUUUAUGGUUAAUCAACUUGGUUGAUCCGAGUUUCAUGUUAGAUCAAAUCUAGGGGUGUUCACAAGGUUGGCUUGGUCUAUUUUUAGUUUUGAUUUUUUUUUUAUAUAAAAAGAGAUCAAACUGAAUUAAUUUUGUAAAAGAAAUUAAAUGAAUUGAGAUUCUGAGUGUCCGGUUAAUUCAGUUGGUAUGGAUAUUUCUACCAACAAUUGUUACCGAAUCAACUGCAAGUCAGACCUCUUCACCCGUCCUAGUUCUUCCAUGAUUUCCAAGUUAAAUUAGACAAGCGAAAAAUAAAAGGAAGCUGAAAAAUCCCUUGUCAGAAAACUAAUUGGUGUCACGUAAUGGGGUAUCAUCUGAAAUCAUGAACUGCGAUAAGCUUUCAACAUUCCAGUAAUUAGCUUUCUGAUUCAAAGCAUUCACUGCAAAUUUAGAUAAAAUGGCAAUUACAAGUUACAGUCAUUACACUGAUCAUGCAGUGUAAUCACUUCUCGUGGUGGUGCUUCCCAGAAUAGAAGAUUUGUUUACUUCUCGUGUUGGUGCUUCCCCUGUAAGAACUUUCUGGUGGCGUGUGACAAGCUAUAUAGAAAAAAUGGCACUCAAAAAGUAAGUUGAGUUGUGUUUGAACUCGCGAAGGUUGGAAACUAAAAAAUCAUGGCUUUGUAAUUGAUCAAUAGCAGAGGGCUGCUAGGAUUAAAGAUGUGGCUGACAGGGGAAAAGCGCAGCUAAAGGUUAAAUUAAAAUGACCUUGGCAGAAUUAUUGAAGUCACAUCUUUGUAUAAAAGAAAAACAGAACAUCUAGUAGUUGUAGUCACAGAAAAUCUACUAAUUGAAGUCACAUUAUGCUCUUUAACAUAAAAUCAAGAACCCCGUAAUGCUAGUAAUCAGUUUUUUAUUUUUAUUUUUCGAAGCAAUCAGCAGUCAAUCACCAUAAAAUAUCGCCAGAGAUGAAUGAUAACUAGCCAGUUUCUUUGUCGGAAGCUGGAAAGUGUUUCGAAGGGAAAGGUUUUUUGAAUGGAGAUAGAUAGAUGAAUGGAUUGUAGAUAAACAAAUGGAAGAAAUGGAGGAAACAUGGAUUAGAGAAUUUGAAUUGUUGCAGAGAAACCCAAGAAUUCUUAGACCUAAACUGACAGUGUCACAAACGGAAGGGUGGAAUUAUAAAUAUUAUUGAUGUACAUGCACUCAGUCAACUCUUUGUAUAAAAAAAGGACUCAAUUAAGCAUUCUGUAGUCCUCUUGUGAUAGAACAGGAAAUGAGAGAAAACCCCGGGAAUCAGAAAUCAUAAUAGGUUGACCCGAAUUUGACACAAAACUAGUUUACAAACCCUUCAUUAAAUUAAAGCAGGAUGGAACUGAAAAGUGACGACACAGGAGACGUUUAUCUUGACGUUAUCAAUGAUUCUGUGCACACUUUCACUGUUCAUACCGAUAUGUCUUGUUGGUCAAAUUCUCAGCACUUCAGUUAUAUAUAUAUAACUAUAUGGAUUUUAGCGGGGGUGCUUAGGGGUUCAUACAUAUGCUGGCUUAGCAUUAUGGUUUUGUUCACAGGUGUUGCCUGCAACCCAAUAGAUGCUACCUUAGUUGCAACUGGGAGUGCAGAGGAUAAAGGCUUUCUCUGGAAGAUUGGAGAUGGAGAUUGGAAAGUGGAGCUAAAUGGCAUGUCAUUAUUCUGCUUUAUGCAUUAUGGUUUGUUGAGUACAGGAUUUUUGUCAGGAUAAUGAUUAGGGCUGAAGACUUUGAACUAGGGUGUAAAUAGGUAGUCGGGGAUCUUUUAAGACAAGACAGUUUUGAUUCUGUCGUUUUAUAGUGGCAGAGAUUUUCCUCUGAAUUGAUGUUAUUUAGGGUUUAGCCAUAUGUCUUCCUAGUCCCAAUCAACACUGAUUAUCUGGAUUCUUUAUGUAUUUCUUAUAUUCGACAGAUUUUCUCUACGCAUUUCGUUGCAGGUCAUGAGGAUUCUGUUUCUUGUUUAGCCUUUAGUGCUGAUGGGCAGUUGCUUGCAUCUGGUGGUGUUGGUGCAACAGUUCGAAUUUGGGACUCGUCAGGUCAUCACAGACACAAACUUGAAGAUGCUUCUAGUUCUUCUGAAGUUGAGUUUGAGGUGGCAUCCAAGACGUCCUUUUGCGUUGGCGGGUUCUACUGAUUUCAUUGCCUCGAUGAAGGAUGCUGAAAAAGGCGUCCUUUUCAAUACGGUCAUGGUGGAUCUGUGACUUGUGGUGAUUUUACACCUGACAGUAUCUUCCAACUUUUUUAUUUAUUAAUAUGGGUGUUUGAGUCAGCUUGUGUUUACCUCAACUAAAUUUUAGAGUCCGUGGUUAAACUUCUCAGUCGCACUUUUUCAUAACUUGUUUCCCUACUUUGUGUUUGAGGAAGACCAUAUUAUUUGUACUGGUUCUACUGAUGCAACUCUGAGGAUAUGGGAUGCGAGGCAAUUCAUGUUGUAAGAGGCUGUGGAUUCUGCCAUUGAUUCCAUUUCAGCUUCACAUUUCCUGUACCAUUGCCAAGCCAGGAAUAAGCCCCUUGAGAUUUCCCAUAACUGAAAACAGGGGUUGUACCAACCUGCUUGCUGAUUUACAAACUGCAAGCUUGCUAUAUUGAUUGCCUCUAUCAGAUUUUGCUCUUUUUUAAUUUUUUUUGUCGAA